CAGGGCUAUACAGAGAAAUCCUGUCUUGAAAAACCAACAAAACAAGACAAAACAAAAAACAUAGUUGGUCAAUCAUGUUUUCUUAAGUUUGCUGUAUAUCUCUCUUAUGUGGAUAAUUUUGGAAAGCAUCUUUUAGUUUAAAGGUGAGAAAUGAAACACUUCAUGGUGACUAGGCUAUUUUCUCAUGUUUUGAACGCUUAGGUUGGCCUGGAAAACUAUGUAUCCUGUGUUGGCCUUGAACCCACAGUCUUGCCUGAGAUGGGAUUGAUGACAAGCAUGUACCUCCAUGACUGCUUGCAGAACAUUUUCAUGAAAUACAUUGAUAUCUGAAAAUACUUUGUAAAAAUUUUAGUUAUCAAAAUUGAUUUAAUUUACAAUAAAAGGGAUCGAGUCUAGGGCCUUAUACAUGCUGGGCAAAUGUUCUACCACUGAGUUAUAUACUCAGCUCUUUUCUUUCUUUCUUUUUUUUCUUGAGACAGGAUGGUCUUGAAUUUUCUCUGUAUCAAGACCUUGAACUUGAUUCUGCCUUAGCUUUCUGUGUAUUAUGACCAUAGGCCUGUGGCACCAGGCCCAGUGUUUUGCUGUAGUUUAAAAGUGUUUACUUUGAUAUUGACCAUUAUUUAGAAUAGUAAAAUGAAAGUUUACAAUAAUUCAUAGAAAGUUGCACAUUUAUUUAGCUUCAAAGUGCUUAAGUUCACUUUUGUUUGUUUGUUUUUAGAAAUCAAACAAGAAAUAAAGCCUAAACGUUUCUUGGGGAGGAGUCCUUAGACUCCUGCUCCUUUGGUGGUUAAAGCGGCAUUUCCGUUACUUUGUGUUCUGUUUCAUUGUGUUCCUAGUUGAAGUGCUUUAUAUAUUUCUUUAGAGAAUUGGAAUUUUGAGUAUGACCUUUUAGAAUUUUCUAUGUUCAUUAUGUAUAUUGUUCUUUUCAUGAAGAAUUGUUCACUUUGUUUUGACUAGUGAAUUUAUUUAAAAACACAUCCUGUCGUGCAUUUGAUAUGUGUUUCAUUCUGGAUUUGUCCACCCUUUAGGUGGGUGGUAGGGUUCAUGAACCGAAACUUUUGCAUUAAAAAUUAAAUUUAGAGUUGUGAUUUGCUGGAUUUUUUUUGUCGUCAUGCUAAGGAUUUCUCAUAUAUUUGUAUGUAGUUGGUGGAUAGUUUUUGGGCUUAUGCCUUGUUUUUUUUAUUCUUAUUAUUUUGAAACAGGGUCUCAGGUAGACCAGGCUAGCCUCAAGCUCACAAUGUAAACUGGUGAUGACCUUAACCUUCUAGUCCUCCUGCCUGUACUUCUCAAGUGCUAGGAUUAUGGGCAUGUGCCACCAUGACCUUAACUGAUUUUCUUUUUUUGAUGAAUAUUUUGGGUUUAUUGUAUGCUGGAGACAUUUACAUUUAUUAACUACUAUUUUGCUUUUAAUAACUUAAUGUGAGAGGCUUUGUUUCUGUACAAGCUCUCAGCCAGGAAGUGGUAGACUGGACAUUGAGCUCAAGUCUAGGAUUAGAGUAUGCUAAGGUUUCAGUGACUUUUUACAUAAUUUUCUAUCCCAGGAAAUGAGUAUUUCUUAGAGCACUAUUCAGUUCAUAGGGUCAAAGAUUUCUCAUAUAGUUACAUAUUCCCACAUGUCUUUUAUUAUCAAAAACUCUAUUUAAAUAAAGUGCUACUUGUGUAUAAAUGAUAAACCUAUUUUAAUACAUCACCCAAAGGAAGCAGUAACAUUAGGAUUCAUUUUUGCUUUUGUACAUUCUAUAGGUUUGGGCAAAUAUCUGCAUAUAUCCACUAUUACAUCGUCAUAAAAAGUUAAUUUGACUGUCCUGAAAAGUUUUGUGGUUUUCCAAAACCCCUUGAAGCCUCUGAUCUUUUCUGUCUUCUCAGCUUUCCUGGUUUCAGAAGCCUUGUGAUUGGAUCUUCCAUACACUAGUCUGUAACAUUCCUAAAAGUCAGAUUGUUUUCUUACUGCAUUUUAAGAGGUGAUUUUUGUUUUUGUUAUUUGUAUAUUUUGGAUAGUUGACUUUUCUCACAUCUUUUCCAAAUACUGUAUCUGUGUCUAGUCUUUUUUGUCACUUGACAGUGUCUUCCAGAAAGCAGAAAACUUUAGUUUCAAUGUAGUCUAGAGCAGCAGUUCUCACCUGUGGGUUGUGACCCCUUUAGGGGUUUGAAUGAUUUUCCCAUAGGGGUCACAUAUCAGAUAUCCAGUAUAUCAGAUAUUUACAUUAUAAUUAGUAACAGUAUCAAAAUUACAGUUAUGAAGUAGUAAUGAAGUAAUUUAUGGUUGGAGGUUACCACACCAUGAGGAACUGUAUUAAAGGGUUGUAUGCAGCUUUAGAAAGGUUGGGAACCAUUGGUCUAGACCAUCACUCCUUGGAUUAUUCCUUUAGUGUUGUUUCUAAAAUGUAAUCACCAAACCCAAAGUCAUUUGGAUUACUCCCCAUAUUGUCUUCCCAAAACCUUGUUUUGUAUUUUCCAUCUGGUUUUGUAAUAGUUUUGUGCAUAUUUCUGUGAAAGGUGUAAGGCCUGUGUCAUUCAGUGGGCUCCUUUACAUAGGUAUGUUCACCUUUUCUCAUUGCAUAGACCUGGGCUCCUUUGUUAGCACCGAUUCUUCAGGUAUGAGCCAAGGACACCUGUGAAUAUCUAUAACCUUCAGCAGGUUUGUGAGGUCAAAAUUGAGUAUCCAUAUUUUAAGGUACAACUUCCCUUCCCUAUUCUGAGUUUCCCAGAAGCUUUGUGCUGUGUGAUUAUUGCAACAGGUUGAGUGUAUUAGCAAACCAUAAGAGCUUGACUCUUGUGGCUGGUGAGAUCACUCAGCAGGUGAGAGCACUGACUGCUCUUCGGAAGGUCCUGAGUUCAAAUCCCAGCAACCACAUGGUGGCUCACAACCACCUGUAAUGAGAUCUGACGCCCUCUUCUGGUGUGUUUGAAGGCAGCUACAGUGUACUUAUGUAGAAUAAUAAAUCUUUGGGCUGGAGCAAGCAGGAACUGAGUGAGCGGAGUCAACUGGAGCGAGCAGAGGUCCUAAAAAUUCAAUUCCCAGCAACCACAUGAAGGCUCUCAACCUUGAAGCUACAGUAUACUCACAUACAACCUGUACACAGCUACAGUGUACUUAUAC
rnacentral:lncRNA from 1 species